GGUCGCUUAGCUCAGUUGGUUAGAGCGUGGUGCUAAUAUCACGUGACAUCACGUGACCUAAACGCCAAGGUCGCGAGUUCGACCCUCGUAGUGACCA
rfam:Coniosporium apollinis CBS 100218 chromosome Tnknown supercont1.3, whole genome shotgun sequence.